CCUACGGGAGGCAGCAGUGGGGAAUAUUGCGCAAUGGGCGAAAGCCUGACGCAGCGACGCCGCGUGAGGGAUGAAGGUCUUCGGAUCGUAAAACUCUGUCAGCAGGGAAGAAGGGUGACUGUGCUAAACAGCAGUGAAUUGACGGUACCUGCAAAGGAAGCACCGGCUAACUCCGUGCCAGCAGCCGCGGUAAUACGGAGGGUGCGAGCGUUAAUCGGAAUUACUGGGCGUAAAGCGCACGGAGGCGGUAUGUCAAGUCAAGGGUGAAAUCCCCGCGCUCAACGUUGGAACUGCCUUUGAAACUGGCAAGCUGGAGUGUGUUAGCGGAUAGUGGAAUUCCAGGUGUAGCCGU
rnacentral:rRNA from 1 species